UAGCGUAGGGGGCAAGCGUUGUCCGGAAUCAUUGGGCGUAAAGCGCGUGUAGGCGGCUGGGUAAGUCCGCUCUGAAAGCCCGGGGCUCAACCCCGGGAGGCGGGUGGAUACUGCUCAGCUCGAGUCCGGAAGAGGAGUGUGGAAUUCCUGGUGUAGCGGUGAAAUGCGCAGAUAUCAGGAGGAACACCAAUGGCGAAGGCAGCACUCUGGGACGGUACUGACGCUGAGACGCGAAAGCGUGGGGAGCAAACAGG
rnacentral:rRNA from 1 species